GGUAGUGUGGCUGAGUGUUCUAAGGCGCUGGAUUAAGACUCCAGUCUCCUAGGAGGUGUGGGUUCAAAUCCCACCAUUGCCA